rnacentral:rRNA from 1 species
CCUACGGGAGGCAGCAGUGGGGAAUAUUGCACAAUGGGGGAAAGACUGAUGCAGCGAAGCCGCGUGAGUGAAGAAGGAAUACGGUACGGAAAGCUCUAUCGGCCGGGAAGAAAAUGAGGGUACCUGAGUAAGAAGCACCGGCUAAGUACGAGCCCACAGCCGCGGUAAUACGUAGGGGGCAAGCGUUAUCCGGAUGUACUGGGUGUAAACGGAGCGUAGGCGGUGCGGCAAGGCCGGAGUUAAAUGCCGAAGCUUAACUGCGGAACUGCUUUGGAAACUGGCGAACUAGAGUGCGGGAGGGGUAAGCGGAAUUCCCAGUGUAGCGGUGAAAUGCGUAGAUAUCAGGAGGAACACCGGUGGCGAAGGCGGCUUACUGGACCGUAACUGACGCUGAGGCUCGAAAGCGUGGGGAGCAAACAGGAUUAGAUACCCGGGUAGUC